GACCUGGUGGUGAAGUGCAUCACACCCACCCUCUUUGCAAAGCUUCCUUGUAUGCAAAAAUUGAUGGUGGAAGUCCCUGGUUCGACUCCGGGCCAGGUCA